rnacentral:lncRNA from 1 species
CUUUCACCUCUAUUUCAAAAUAUUUUGAUAACACAUCUUUAUUUACAGAUUUGUCGACAAUUUAAAUUUUUUUAUUUAUAGUUAUUUUUAGAUUUUAGGUUUUCUGAUAUUACGCGAAGACAACGUUUUGCAAUUAAUAAUCAGAUACACAAAAACACACACAGUCCCAUUUUCGAACCAAACAAUUCAGAUUCAAUAUUAAGCCAAAAAUAUAAAAAUGUUAUUUUCAACUUACCUGAAAUAAACUCUGCAUUGCAUAUUUUGGUUUAAGGAGGGGAUAAUGACGUAACUAAAAAAAAAAAGAUCUGUGUCCUAUAAAUGACAUCAAAAUAUGAUAAACACAGUCCAUUUUAAUC